rnacentral:rRNA from 1 species
AUUGAACGCUGGCGGCAGGCCUAACCCAUGCAAGUCGAACGAGUGGCGGACGGGUGAGUAAUGUCUGGGAAACUGCCUGAUGGAGGGGGAUAACUACUGGAAACGGUAGCUAAUACCGCAUACCAUCAGAUGUGCCCAGAUGGGAUUAGCUUGUUGGUGGGGUACCGGCUCACCAAGGCGGCGAUCCCUAGCUGGUCUGCGAGGAUGACCCGCCACACUGGAACUAAGACACGGUCCAGACUCCGACGGGAGGCAGCAGUGGGGAAUAUUGCACAAGGGGCGCAAGCCUGAUGCAGCCAUGCCGCGUGUAUGAAGAAGGACUUCGGGAUGUAAAGUACUUGCAGCGGGGAGGCGUUACCCGCAGAAGAAGCACCGGCUAACUAAGUGCCAGCAGCCGCGGUAAUAC